rnacentral:lncRNA from 1 species
UCGAUUUUCAUCUCCUAAAAAAAUCUUCUACACAUUCUUGUUACCUCACUCUCAAUUUUCUACGGAACGAAUCUUUUACUGUUUUACACGAUACCUCACUUACGGUUUGAGUAAGCAACAUUAACUUGCUAAAGUUUCGAUUUUUGUUUCUUUUUGUUGCUGUUGUAGUUAUUGUUUAGAGAAUGAUGAUUUGGGAGUUUUAGAACUUUUUGAGAUUGAUGGGGUUUUUUAGAUCUAACAAUGAAUUAUCAAUUUAAGAGUAUAAUGCUAGUGUUUUGUUUUUGUGACCCUAGGACCAUCUGUUGGUGAAGGAGAUCAAGUUUUUAGGAAUUGUUCACAUCUUUGUUCACAUUAUCAUUGUAAGUGGUUUUUAUUCAAUCUAGUGUGGGUUUUUUUUAUGUUUGUGAGAUGUUUAUGUUUGUGUGGUACACUGGUUAUGAUUGUUUUGAGUUACGAUUGUUCUUUUUUUUCAGUGACAUUGUAUAAGUGCAUCUACUUUAGUCUUUACUUAGGAGUUAGGAGUAAACAUCAAAACUAUUAAUUAGCCUCUCUUCAGCUUAUUUUUCAUUACUGUUGUGUACUUGUGUUGAUGCAGCCUGGAUCUGGUUCGGUUCGGUUCAAAAUGAACAAUGUAAGUUAUUUUUUACAAUGUUGUUUCAAAGACUUUCAAAUUUUAUACGUAUACUUAACAAGUUACUACUUACCACAAAAUUUUGGUGGGUUAAUUUGUCUUUCACUUUCUUUUUUACAUUGAAAUUGAUAUCAACCUAAAACUGAAAUUCGGACUCCACAAAAAACCACAAAGACUGUCAAAGAGCUAUAGUAGUAAAGAAAAACAGUUUAUUCUCAUAACGCAUUAAAAAAGAGAAAUAAACUUCUUUAUAUUUUUUAACGCCAGAAAGAAUUUGAUGUGUUUAUAUGUAGUCGCAUAUUUCAAAUAUUGUGACCAUUCUGAAGAACAACUAUUGUUUCGAGUAUCGUCUCGUUUCUUCCCCUGUAUCCGAUUAUGUUUGUAAGUACACUGGUACAAGCAAGUAAACCAAAAAUUACAUAAGAGACAUGUUGUAGAU